GUGAAUUAAACAUGCUUGGUGUCUUCGCUUCGGCAAGGCCCUUGCUUAAAUCACAUCCUAACACCUGUGAACUGUAAGACGUAUGAUGAGGUCUUUGGCCAAGUCAUCGUCUGCCCAUUUUUAACAAACAAUUAAUGUAACAAACGUAGUUCCUUAUUAUAACCUUAAUA
rnacentral:misc_RNA from 1 species